rnacentral:misc_RNA from 1 species
GAUGAAGAACGUAGCGAAAUGCGAUAAGUAAUGUGAAUUGCAGAAUUCAGUGAAUCAUCGAAUCUUUGAACGCACAUUGCGCCCCUUGGUAUUCCGAGGGGCAUGCCUGUUCGAGCGUCAUUAUAACCCCUCAAGCUCAGCUUGGUGUUGGGGCCUGCUGCACUGGCAGCCCUUAAAAUCAGUGGCGGCGCCAUCUGGCUCUAAGCGUAGUAAUUCUUCUCGCUAUGGAGUCCUGGUGGAUGCUUGCUAUCAACCCCCAAUUUUUCUAUGGUUGACCUCGUAUCAGGUAGGGAUACCCGCUGAACUUAAGCAUAUCAAUAGGCGGAGGA